rnacentral:lncRNA from 1 species
UAAACCUUGAAAACGAAAUCAAAUCACUGCUUGUCAAUUUCAGCCGCCGUUUUGAAUCGCUACUGGCCGCCAUCAAUGUUUGUUCGGUGAAAGCAGGGCCUGUACCGCCUCGAGGCCAGGAAAAACGAUGCUCCCACUCGUUUUUUGUUGUCAUUGUGUUGCGUAAUGUGUUCUGAACAGUGGACCAUUGAAGCGGGUGAGGACAAUUGAAUUAUCUUUAUACGAGUUUCGCCGCAACUUGAAAGAUAAAUUCAUAAUCGACGCAUGUGCGCUGAACUUCAGCGCCGCACAUUUGCUCAUCGUUGUUCGUUGUGAAACAUGCGUAAUGUGGCUCGAAUGAUUUUUGCCAGUCAGGGAGAGAACUGAGAUCGUUCUGGGAAUGGUCAGGCAGUUACAAGCGAAGAUAAUGAACAGAAGCGCGCACGCUUUCAUCUCAGGAAACUAAAGGAGACAGACAUGCAAGGAACACUGCGUAAGCAGACGACCUUCUGCAUUUCGGUGUCCAGUUGCAUCUAACGUCACAUUUCCGGAAGGCAGCACGGUAUCAAUAUAACAUAGGAUGCCGGGUCAGAAACUAGAUCAAGCUUAACUGAAUAUUCAUUUGAGCAGCAGGCAGCCGUGCCGCCAGCCAUCUUCGUUUGAUGCAAAUUAGAGUACAAAAACAACUUUACCAGCUUCAAAUACACUCUGCGCCCAUUUAAAGCUUGUUGGCUAACGAAUAUGAGCUAUAACUGGAUGUAAGCCAAGUUGCUUACGGACGUCUAUUUCUCAAAGAAGGAAUGAAUGUGCGUAUGUACAUUAACACAGAUGCGAUGCCGAGGUUAUAUAACGAAGCGCUCUGCACUGUAGAGGGCGGUCGUUUCAACGGAUGUUCGAGUGCCGGAAGGGCUUUCGGAGAAGCUCAUAGACUUCGUGAACUCUCUCGUGAGGUCGAAUUAGCUCCGCGUCAGCACGAACUCAGCUCCUAGGCAGGCAGACAGCGACGAAAUCUCAAGGUUUGAAAGACCACCAGCGUAGUGCAGCCCUUUCACCUUGUGGCGAGUGCCUUCCGGACCAGGACGAGAACUCAUUCGACUGGACACAGCGGCAGCAAUGGUUUUAUUUGUCCCGCUGUCCGCUUGUAUUCCUCAUCGGUCAAAUGGGGAUCACAAAAUAAAACGGACGCAUAAAUCGCAGGCCCCGGGACUGGUAGUCGGAACGGCUAUCGGGAGAUAAAAUGUUUUGUGGUUUUUAAGGCUACACCGCCAAUCGGGAGAACCGGCAUCGAAUUUAUGGUGCAUACAGAAGCCGAAACACAAACGAUGCCUGGGAUCAACGCGAGUUCGGAUGUUACGAGAGUGAACAGUUGAUCUACGCUGGGGCUCUGACUUCCUUCGAUCAGAUCAAGUCAAGCAACCUCGAUACUUGGACCUUAGCGCCAUGACAGAUCUAAAGCUGUUUGACGAUCCAAAGUUAUGUCCAUCCUACAAUUUCCAAUGACAAUACCGUUCUUGGUCUCCCAAAAGCGUCAAUGAUACCUUCGAAAACUUUACAGAGGCAAGAUGAUGAGUGAACCGCCCAACUCUCUACGAAGGCUGAGGUUAAAAGUUCUGAC